rnacentral:rRNA from 1 species
UACGUAGGGGGCUAGCGUUGUCCGGAAUCAUUGGGCGUAAAGAGCGUGUAGGCGGCCCGGUAAGUCCGCUGUAAAAGUCAAAGGCUCAACCUUUGAAUGUCAGUGGAUACUGCCGGGCUAGAGUCCGGAAGAGGCGAGUGGAACUCCUGGUGUAGCGGUGGAAUGCGCAGAUAUCAGGAAGAACACCAACGGCGAAGGCAGCUCGCUGGGACGGUACUGACGCUGAGACGCGAAAGCGUGGGGAGCGAAACAGG